AUUGAACGCUGGCGGCAGGCUUAACACAUGCAAGUCGAGCGGGGUGAUGGUGCUUGCAUUAUCACUUAGCGGCGGACGGGUGAGUAAUGCUUAGGAAGCUACCCGACAGAGGGGGAUACCAGUUGGAAACGACUGUUAAUACCGCAUAAUGUCUACGGACCAAAGUGUGGGACCUUCGGGCCACAUGCUGUCGGAUGCGCCUACGUGGGAUUAGCUCGUUGGUGAGGUAAUGGCUCACCAAGGCGACGAUCCCGAGCGGGUUUGCGAGGAUGAUCAGCCACACUGGAACUGAGACACGGUCCAGACUCCUACGGGAGGCAGCAGUGGGGAAUAUUGAACAAUGGGCGCAAGCCUGAUCCAGCCAUGCCGCGUGUGUGAAGAAGGCCUUCGGGUUGUAAAGCACUUUCAGCGAGGAGGAAGGGUUGGUCGUUAAUAGCGGCUAAUCUUGACGUUACUCGCAGAAGAAGCACCGGCUAACUCUGUGCCAGCCGCCGCGGUAA
rnacentral:rRNA from 1 species